GUCCCUCGGUCUGUCGGCGGACUGUGGGCCCGAAAAUACUGAGGAACAAACACAUCACAGUUAAGAUACCUGGACACUGGAGGACAGGUGAGCUACUGCAGGACAGGUGAGCUACUGGAGGACAGGUGAGCUACUGGAGGACAGGUGAGCUACUGGAGGACAGGUGAGCUACUGGAGGACAGGUGAGCUACUGGAGGACAGGUGAGCUACUGCAGGACAGGUGAGCUACUGGAGGACAGGUGAGCUACUGGAGGACAGGUGAGCUACUGCAGGACAGGUGAGCUACUGGAGGACAGGUGAGCUACUGGAGGACAGGUGAGCUACUGGAGGACAGGUGAGCUACUGCAGGACAGGUGAGCUACUGCAGGACAGGUGAGCUACUGCAGGACAGGUGAGCUACUGGAGGACAGGUGAGCUACUGGAGGACAGGUGAGCUACUGGAGGACAGGUGAGCUACUGCAGGACAGGUGAGCUACUGCAGUAGAAUUAGACCUACCUUGAACGUUGGGUAGAACUUGAUGCUGAAGUCUUUACAGACGUCAAAGUUUUCCUCCUGAGCACAG